GGAAUACCGGCAAAAACCGCUCUAAGCCGGCUGAGUUCAUCAAGAUUCAUUUACUCGAAAUCGAAAAACGAGAUGCACAAAAUGCGAUCCGCUUAAUAGGCAACCGCCGAUUAAAUGAACCAGCCAGAUGUUCUAUCUAUACAUUCACAUUUGUGACGUGUACAGCUGAUGAUGAUGCUAAGCAGUUUAAAUCAAAUUAUCAGCAUGAAAAGAUCUCAAAUUAAAUUGUUUUGGUUGGAAUAACCAAAAUUGGCAAAUUACAGGCAAAGUUGCAUUCAAGCGAAAAAGAUCGCUCUCGCCGAAUAGAAGUUGAUAAUAUUUUCGGGGUGUGUGUCAUCGUGUUCUUUCGGUUUAACCUCCACCUCCCUUUGUUGAGGUCACCAGUCAAAAUAUUGCGUAUUCGCAGCGUUGACGUGACGCCAUUGUGGCUGGCAGAACGAUAACGAAACUGGGCCCAAACUCAAGGGAAUUCCACGGAAGAACGCCAAGGAAAUGAAUGAAAAUCAACUUUCAAUUUUGGAGGUUAUAGACUGAUCCGCAACUUUGUCAGUUGCACAACACGUGGUAGACCGAAGCUCACCUGAGAAAAUCCAGGUUAUUCAUAAUAACCCAAGGGAAGACGAUAAGAACAGCUCGCAGUCAAAGUAGGGAAAAUGGAAACAACGAGGCAGUAGAAGGGAAAUCAAAACGCUGAUGUGUGGGGUCAAUGAAAUUGAAAUGCAAUUGUCAGAAGCUUUCCGAUGUAGGGGGAACUCGAAAGGUAAGCUAUAGGCAAAGCCAAACAAAAGCUUGGACCGAUCGAAAAAAGCGGGAGAGAUACGAGCAAGAGAGAGAGAGAGACCGAGAGAGAGAGAGGAGAGACCAAAACCGGCACAACCAAACAAAGAGCCGAAGCGACAAGAAAACGAGCGACAGCAGCAGCAGCAGCAACAGCACGACAGCAACAGCAACACAUCGCUGCCCAUCAGCAACAUCGUCGACAAACACGAGGAAAGGUUCGAAUUCGACUGGCUCAGUGUGACAGCGAACGCCGUACCUGUUGUGUGUGUGUUUCCACAACUUCUGGACUUUUUCCGAGUGCUGUGUGUUAUGGCAGCAGGUCCAAACCCUGAGUCAAAACAAAGAGCUCUGUGAGAAGUCCUGCAUCGCAAGCGAUAGCAACAGUUGGCAGAUCGAAAAAGGAGGACUCCGCAGCAAAAUGUUCGAAGUCGCCUGCCUGAUGUUCAUCUUCCCCGGGAUCUUCAUCCUGCUGCUCAUGCUCGUUGCCAUGACUGUAAUCUAGUUGGAAGUAUGUAAAACAAACGGCGGAACGGGCACACAAAUUGCGAAACAUCAGCUGGCAGUGUGCCCAAAUAAUCAGCGGAAAUUACCGAAAGAUUCCUCUUGCGACGCCCAAACAUAUUCCUAUUAAAAUGUGCUUGAUUUGUUGUUUUCAUUACCCCCAUUAUUUGCUUGUUGACCACACUGAAGUGUAAUGUGAUUUAAUUGUAUUUUAAAGAUUGUAUUAUGUAAGAAAUCGUACCUUUUAUAUAUAUAUAGUUUUAAUUAGGCUUUAAGUUUGAAAAUAAACUUUGAAAUCAUCUGAGAA